ACCAAAGUGGCGUAGUGGUUUGAGUGUUGGACUAUGGCUCUGAAGACCAGGGUUUGAUUCCCUGCUUAGCUA